rnacentral:miRNA from 14 species
UCCUCUUCUUCCUCCUCUUCCUCCUCCUCUUCUACCUCUUCCUCCUCUUCCUCCACCUCCUUUUUAAUUUGUUCUAUUUCAAAAUAAUUGCCUUAAAGUGUAAGGUUGUUUUGUUUUCCUUAUCUAAGUCAUGCGAUCAUCUCAAUAUUGUAUUUUUGUUAAUAUUUGUCUGCAGCUUUCUGCAUUGCAUGUGUUGUAUGCUAUGGAGUAUGUUUGUACAGUUUG